rnacentral:rRNA from 1 species
GACGAACGCUGGCGGCGUGCUUAACACAUGCAAGUCGAACGGAAAGGCCCUGCUCGGGGGGUGUGCGCGAGGGGCGAAGGGGUGAGAAACACGUGUGUAACCUGCCCGUGACUGGGGUAUAACUUGAGGAAACGGGGGCUAAUACGGGAGAGGAGCUCGUGCUGCGGGGGGGGGGUGGGAAAGUUUCGGCGGUUGGGGAUGGCCUCGCGGCUUAUCGGCUUGUUGGUGGGGUAGUGGCUUACCAAGGCUUUGAGGGAUAGCCGGCCGGAGGGGGUGCCCGGCCACAUGGGGACUGGGCUCGGGCCCGGCCUCCUCCGGGGGGAGGCGGUGGGAAUUUUUGCACAUUGGGCGGAGGCCUGUGGAACAACCCCCGCGUGCGGGAUGCCGGCUUCCGGGUUGUAACCCGCUUCCCCCUGUGCCGAGGCGUGUGUGACGGUAAUGGGUAAAGAAGCACCGGCUAACUACGUG